rnacentral:rRNA from 1 species
UACGAAGGGAGCGAGCGUUGUUCGGAAUCACUGGGCUUAAAGCGUGCGUAGGUGGAUUGGUAAGUAAGGAGUGAAAUCCCAGGGCUUAACCCUGGAACUGCUCUUUAGACUGCCUGUCUGGAAUUCGGAAGAGGUUGGUGGAACUCCCAGUGUAGAGGUGAAAUUCGCAGAUAUUGGAUGGAACACCAGUGGCGAAGGCGGCUAACUGGCUCGGUAUUGACGCUGAGGCACGAAAGCGUGGGUAGCAAACAGG